rnacentral:rRNA from 1 species
AGUGAACGCUGGCGGUAGGCCUAACACAUGCAAGUCGAACGGCAGCACAGUAAGAGCUUGCUCUUACGGGUGGCGAGUGGCGGACGGGUGAGGAAUACAUCGGAAUCUACUUUUUCGUGGGGGAUAACGUAGGGAAACUUACGCUAAUACCGCAUACGACCUACGGGUGAAAGCAGGGGAUCUUCGGACCUUGCGCGAUUGAAUGAGCCGAUGUCGGGUUAGCUAGUUGGCGGGGUAAAGGCCCACCAAGGCGACGAUCCGUAGCUGGGCUGAGAGGAUGAUCAGCCACACUGGAACUGAGACACGGUCCAGACUCCUACGGGAGGCAGCAGUGGGGAAUAUUGGACAAUGGGCGCAAGCCUGAUCCAGCUAUACCGCGUGGGUGAAGAAGGCCUUCGGGUUGUAAAGCCCUUUUGUUGGGAAAGAAAAGCAGCAGGUUAAUACCCCGCUGUUCUGACGGUACCCAAAGAAUAAGCACCGGCUAACUUCGUG